rnacentral:rRNA from 1 species
CCUGGCUCAGAUUGAACGCUGGCGGCGUGCUUAACACAUGCAAGUCGAACGCGAAAGGGACUUCGGUCCUGAGUAGAGUGGCGCACGGGUGAGUAACGCGUAGAUAAUCUACCUUCUUGUUUGGGAUAACCAGCCGAAAGGCUGGCUAAUACCGGAUACACUUUCGAAGGCGCGAGUUUUCGGGAGGAAAGGUGCCCUCUGAUUCAAGGUGCCGCAGGGAGACGAGUCUGCGUACCAUUAGCUAGUUGGUGGGGUAAUGGCCCACCAAGGCGAUGAUGGUUAGCGGGUCUGAGAGGAUGAUCCGCCACACUGGAACUGGAACACGGACCAGACUCCUACGGGAGGCAGCAGUGAGGAAUUUUGCGCAAUGGGGGAAACCCUGACGCAGCGACGCCGCGUGGGUGAUGAAGGCCUUCGGGUCGUAAAGCCCUGUCGGGUGGGACUAAGUGUCAAUCGGUUAAUACCCGGUUGAUUUGACGGUACCACCAAAGGAAGCACCGGCUAACUCCGUGCCAGCAGCC